ACGAAGUCUGCCAUGUCAAUCGUUAGCUGUACAGGCCUGCUGCACAAUACUUUCCAAAUAUGGCAAUUAAACUCAAACUCAUGAGUCUUUUGACGAGAUAUAUUUUACGUUGGUCCAACUAGGGCAAAACUAUGCAUUAUGCGCACCACGAUUUCAGACAUUUUCGUGUAUUUGAGUAGAAAAUCGAUUAGUGAGCGCUAGCUAGCUAGCUCGCUAACAGCGCAAGCUAACUGGUCUUCAGCGUUUUUUUUUAAACCAACCAUGGCUGAAAGAUGACAUGGCUAUACUUACCAAUAAUGUACUGAAUACACCAUGGUUGCCAUGGUUAUCGACGUGUAUCUGCGUGGUGAUGUCCUAAUGGGUGGAUUUGUCUCCAACUACUCAGCAGCACAGGUCAUCAUCAAGGCUUCUGGAACUACCUCCAUAGAAGAAAGGUUCUUGGACCAUCCCUAACUCCAGAAUUUGAAACUAGGCCUAAAUUCACAGAAGCAGAUCUGUAGAUCACCCUAAUCCUAUUGAGGAAGGCCUCUGGAACUACCAGCUCAACUCAAUUUCAACAGAUCUUUUUGAACAAACAAAGCAGAACUAAUCCAAUUCAAUCCACUAAUGACCGCCCCAAUUCCAAUCGCCCAGGUCCUUGGAACAAUCGAUAACUCUAUGAGAUCAGACACAACUUUAUUGAUCCAGGCUUCUCGAAGUAACCCUUUCUGCAAUGGAAAAAGUUCUUGGACCAAGCCAACUUGAAUUUACCCAGGGCUCUGGAGCAAACCCUAGCUAGCUCCUGAAAAUCAGACCUCUGAACCUAGCCAACCUUAGCCAGGUCUCUGGAACCAACCCGAACUCCAUUGGUGAAGGCCUCUCGCCAGUGGAACAUAUCUCAAGGGUCAACUCAACUCAGUGUGCAAGAAACUUGAGUCUAUAAAAGGAGGUACUAAACCAACUCAACAGGCAUCUGAAAUUAACCCUCUAACUCAAUUGGUAAUGUCCUCCGGAAACCCAAUAUGAGCAAGACCAACCCUACUCGGUUCACCCAUGGAACAAAAACAACUUUUAUAAGAAAAGGUUUCUAGAACCAUAGCACAACUUCAUUGGCCCAGGCCUCGGGGACUAACCUGAACACUAAAAAUGUCUCAACUUGCAACUAGCACGUGGGUUCCCAACUGAAGCAUUCAUCGAAAAAGCAGGUUAAAAGUGACCGUUCUGCUACGUAUGCAUUCAUCCAACACCUAACGUUCUUUGUUUAUUGACAUCAUGUGCUUUUCUACUUUUCUGUCACGUUAAUUUACCAUCAUGAAUAUUUAUAACCCAUCAAGUUCUUCAUUUUAAAUGUGUUUACUUGUGUUGUAAAGCGUUAACAGAGUCCCAUUUGUAACUGUUAAUGAGCAGCACAGCUGACUAAUUUCCGCCACAUUCGCUGUCAUUAAUUAGCAAGGCCUCUGAUAACUCUGCAGACAAAAUCUCCCUAAGCUGGAAACAUGAAACAACUUUCCAUCACACUGUCCUGUUGCUGAUUUGAACCCAGGAAAGGAAAAUAAAACUCGAUGGACUCCAUAGGGUUUUUUUUUCCUUACUUCUCAAGAGCCGGGUGUUAAUAUUUAGGCAGUACAGUGACAGUGUAAGUUAUGGCCGGCGGCGGGCCAAAAGACAUUUUCACAAUCCUCAUAUUUAUGUUUCUCACAUGUGUUUUAGUGCUAUUUUCCUGUUCCAUUAAAUGUAGUCGCUAUAGCGCUAGAAAAGGAGAUUACGAUGUUUUCGAGCAUUGUUACAAAAUUACAGACACACUCGCACGGCACGUUUGACUAGUGUGAGUGUACCGAUACGUACCCAGGCACGGCACGUCUCAAAGUCUCAAAAUUAUCUCAAAGUCAUACACAUGGUACAUAAUAAAAAUGUGUCAUUUAAUUCAUGCAAUUACUGCUCUUGCAACAUCCGAAAAACUCCAAAUAAGACUGGAAAUAAAUCACAAAGUCAUCACAAUUGGAGCAGAAUGUGUCAUUUAAUGUGUCACUUCUCUUGCAAUAAUUAACAGGAAUCAAAAUAAUCCACUAAAUCAGGAAAAUGGCGGUAAAGCAGCAGCGUAGAAGUGAUGGGACGUGUAAACACACCGUCGUUCGAAUGCUCAGUCUGAACGCAGACCAGUGGGGCCCAGGAGAGUUACGGGGAAUCAAACCCAAGUCCAUCACGGUACUCAUGGACCUGCGUCAAGUUUGUCACCCUUCCCCACGCACAACUGGUGAAGAAUUCUCAGGCCCUGUCUACAUAGAAUGAUUUCUGGAUUGUUUUUUUUGGGGGGUUGAAAAAAAUGUGCAUCCAUCGAGCAUCGACGGGAACCGGGACUUACAUCCUGAUUCUGCCGGAAUCUUUCAUGUUUUUAAAAUUUCAGUCUUUACGUUGGUGAUCUUCUUCCAACAAGUCAGAUAAGUAAAACAGUAAAUUACAUUGAUCUUAUGCCAACAUUGAAGUAGCAAACAAAUUAUACUUUGUACUGCGAAUACGGUGGCCAACUCAUAUAUCCAGCUAACGUGAUGCUGUGUACUUUACCUGAUGUUAACCUAGCUUUAGCCAGGAAGUUGACCAGACCCCGCGCGAAGUGUUACUCCAUUCACCGUACUUAUUUGGUAUUCUGCAAGCAGUUUAGUAGGAGCUCAGUAACAUGGUUACUGGUCUUCAAAAAUAAAAAUGACUUUAUGUUACAUUUAUGUUCAAGUUCAAUUGUUUGAUGUUUAUAUAUCGGUUAAUAAUAGCCCUGUGAGAUAUUCAUAGUAAAUUCAUAAAAAGUUCAUAUAAUUUAAAACAAAUCAUGGAGACAUUCAGACAUUUCAUCCAAAAACUUUGGUUAGCGCCCUCAUGUAAACCAUGCCAACUUUUAUGACUCUACCUUUGAAAAGAAUCGGAAUCGUGACUCGUUAGGAAUUGGAAAUCGAAAGGAGGAAUCGGAAUUGCUCAAAUUCAAACGAUGCCCAACCCGAGUCACGUCCGUCGAAAUAUUCAGAUAUUAUGUUGGCUUGUCGUCAAAGCUCACUUCUGGUCACGUGACGGCGUCGUUGUGGCAACGGAUUGGUGACGUCAUUGUUUCUGAAAAACAGAGGUUCGGUCGUCUAUACGGAAACGACAAGCCGGUGUUUUCCGAUUUUCCUACUCUGCAAGAUGUUUUCAAAAAAAUACCUUUUCAGGGCACCCAGAACGCCGUUCCCGUCUGGAUGACAGGCGGAAAGGUUCAAAUACUUUGCUGUUUUGACCUGAAAACGUUUCAAUGUGGAUAGCCCCAUGUGGAUAGCGUGGCGAACUGCCAGGGGAGGCAUGAGAGGCAGGGAGGACUUUGAGUAUUAGUGCAGACCUGCCCACGUCUGAAUUUGUCGUACUCAGCAUGCAGUUGGACUCGCGAUUAUGCUUCACUGCUCUCCAUUUGUUUGCAUUUCGCCGGUUUCCGUUUCAAAUUCAGUCUGUACUGUACAGAUAAAUAAAUAGAUAUUAUCAUUUUCUUCAUCCGAUUUCAAAUCGGGUGGGCGCUAAAACAUUUCUCUCCCCCAGUGGGGGCAUGACAGAAAACAAUUGAGAACCACUGCUUUAAUCCAACUACACAAACCUUUAUUUUUCAUCACGGCAUCCCAUUCUAGUUCUGGAUCUGGUUCUGGUGUUGCCGUUGUUGUUUUUGCAGGUGUUGUUCAGCGUGGAUCCCUGAACCAGGGCCUGCAUGGCAGCUCUCAAGGAAACACCAAAACUGGUGGAGCUCAAAUGCAUGCAUAGCCCAUAGCCCUUUGUUGCGGUCAAAAGAGUCAGAAAGAAGUGAAAGCCCAAUGAAGUAUCACUUGGAUGUUCAUAUCUUGAAUAUUCUUUGACCUUCGUUACUCACACGCUUCCUCUUUUUGUUUUUCCACAGAUGGAUUUUUUUGUUUUUGUUGCAUGGAUCCCACAGAUCAGACAUCUGCUGCAGAUGAUCACAGUGGUUGGGCCCGUGCGGUCUGUCACCAGCUUGGAGGUUCUUUGCAGUGGGGAGCGUCGUCUUCAUCACAGUGGCAGGUGCUGAUGGAAGCUGAGGCGUCCAAUUAAAGGAGUUGAUGAUUGAUGAGGUCAGCUGCUCGUGCUUCAAAUUAACCUUUCAAUUAAGCUCCAACGAAAAAAAGCAACAGCACAAGUUUAGCAGCAGCCAUGCUUUGCUUGCACGGCCACCGAAUUAAGCAUCCGCCUCAAUUUGCGAUUAUGAAUGAGCUGUGACACUUUGAACGUUCGCACGGGACACCAACGACUGCAGAUGAAGCACGUGCUUGCGUGAACAUCGGCGCUUUUCACGAUCAUGCUCAGACAAGUGCAAAAUAUCAACAUCAGCGAGCUAAAAUGGCGCGGCGUUUUUAAUCUGAGGCAGUGUUGCGUCCGAACAAAAUGUCCCUCCACCCCUCCCACAAAUAGAAAGGUGCAGCAAAGACCUCCAAGGCAGCCGUAACAGAAAGUCCUGCUGUUUUACAACUCUUGUCACCAUAUGGUGCUGUUGGCACACAACACUUCUUCUUCCAUCCAAAUGGUCCACAAGCAACUCAUCUUUCAAAGGAAACUGCAACAAAUACUGUGUAUAUAUAUAUAUAUGUGUGUGUGUGUGUGUGUGUAUUUGUAUUUCUGACUAAUCGGAUUGAAAUAUAAUAAUAGUUUAUACCACAAAUGCUCGACAAUUAUUAUAGUGGCAAAUAGGACGAAUGCACGUGUCAAACAAAAAGAAACCUUUUUUUUUUUAAAUAUACCUGCUGCUGUGCUCCAAAUGAUUUCGUUCUUUCUUUCUGUUGCUUAAUUGAUUACACAUCAUCAUCACAAUGAAGGUGAUAUAAUCCAGUGAUUACAGGCACAUAUAAUGCAUGAAACAUUUCACUUGAAACACGUGCAGUACAUAUUUUUACAUCGUCCGUGGGUGGAAUGCGUCACAUUUUUCAUAAAUAACACAGGAACCAAUCAGUAAUGACU